AUGAAGCCGGAAUUGCUAGUAAUGGCAGGUCAGCAUACUGCCGUGAAUACGUUCCCGGGCCUUGUACACACCGCCCGUCACACCAUGAGAGUUGGGGAUACCCGAAGCCUGUGAGCUAACUUAUAGAGGCAGCAGUCGAAGGUAGAAUCAAUGAUUGGGGUGAAGUCGUAACAAGGUAGC
rnacentral:rRNA from 1 species